ACGCUCGACACCUACGGGGGCAGCAGUGGGGAAUAUUGGGCAAUGGGCGCAAGCCUGACCCAGCAACGCCGCGUGAAGGAAGAAGGCCCUCGGGUUGUAAACUUCUUUUAACAGGGACGAAGUAAGUGACGGUACCUGUUGAAUAAGCCACGGCUAACUACGUGCCCGCAGCCGCGGUAAUCUGAGCGGGCUGGCAAGGC
rnacentral:rRNA from 1 species